rnacentral:rRNA from 1 species
UGCAAGUCGAACGAUGAAGUCCUUCGGGAUGGAUUAGUGGCGCACGGGUGAGUAUACUAUAGAUAAUGUGCCCCUUAGUCUGGGAUAGCCACUGGAAACGGUGAUUAAUACUAGAUACUCCUUCUUAUCACAAGGUAAGUUGGGAAAGUUUUUUCGCUAAGGGAUCGGUCUAUAUCCUAUCAGUUAGUUGGUGAGGUAACGGCUCACCAAGGCGAUGACGGGUAGCGGGUCUGAGAGGAUGAUCCGCCACACUGGUACUGAGACACGGACCAGACUCCUACGGGAGGCAGCAGUGAGGAAUAUUGCACAAUGGGGGAAACCCUGAUGCAGCAACGCCGCGUGGAGGAUGACGCAUUUCGGUGUGUAAACUCCUUUUAUGAGUCAAGAAAAUGACGGUAGCUCAUGAAUAAGCACCGGCUAACUCCGUGCCAGCAGCCGCGGUAAUACGGAGGGUGCAAGCGUUACUCGGAAUCACUGGGCGUAAAGGACGCGUAGGCUGUUUAGCAAGUCAGGUGUGAAAUCCUAUGGCUCAACCAUAGAACUGCACUUGAAACUGCUACACUACAGUAUGGGAGGGGUAGAUG